rnacentral:rRNA from 1 species
GAUGAACGCUGGCGGCGUGCCUAAUACAUGCAAGUCGAGCGAACGGACGUGAAGCUUGCUUCUCUGAUGUUAGCGGCGGACGGGUGAGUAACACGUGGAUAACCUACCUAUAAGACUGGGAUAACUUCGGGAAACCGGAGCUAAUACCGGAUAAUAUUUUGAACCGCAUGGUUCAAAAGUGAAAGACGGUCUUGCUGUCACUUAUAGAUGGAUCCGCGCUGCAUUCGCUAGUUGGUAAGGUAACGGCUUACCAAGGCAACGAUGCAUAGCCGACCUGAGAGGGUGAUCGGCCACACUGGAACUGAGACACGGUCCAGACUCCUACGGGAGGCAGCAGUAGGGAAUCUUCCGCAAAGGGCGAAAGCCUGACGGAGCAACGCCGCGUGAGUGAUGAAGGUCUUCGGAUCGUAAAACUCUGUUAUUAGGGAAGAACAUAUGUGUAAGUAACUGUGCACAGCUUGACGGUACCUAAUCAGAAAGCCACGGCUAACUACGUG